AUGUACAUUCCUACAACAUAACGUUAAUGCACCAGAUCCCAUUAGAGCUCCGUAGUUAAGCACACUCAGGCUAGAGUAGUACUAUGAUGGGUGACUGUCUAGGAAGUCAUAGUAUUUUACAUU
rnacentral:rRNA from 1 species